rnacentral:rRNA from 1 species
UACAGAGGUCUCAAGCGUUGUUCGGAUUCAUUGGGCGUAAAGGGUGCGUAGGCGGCGCGGUAAGUCGGGUGUGAAAUCUCGGAGCUUAACUCCGAAACUGCAUUCGAUACUGCCGUGCUUGAGGACUGGAGAGGAGACUGGAAUUUACGGUGUAGCGGUGAAAUGCGUAGAUAUCGUAAGGAAGACCAGUGGCGAAGGCGGGGUCUCUGGACAGUUCCUGACGCUGAGGCACGAGGGCCAGGGGAGCAAACGGG